GGAAAAUAUUUGCGCUCAGUCAUACUUGGAUUAACUAAUGCGAAUUUUGCAAUUGCUUCUAUGGUUUAUUGCAUUAAGUUUGAAAAUAAUGAGGAAGAUAUGCCAAAGUACAAUAAACAAUUAAAAUUAUACUAUUUGUAUUCUCUUGAUGUUAUUGAAAUAAUUAUAUUCAAACAACACAUGCGGAAUUCACUGAAAGCAGUUACUACACACGGAGUAAGAUAUUUUGAAAUGGCAAAUAACCCUAAGAAAAAGAUAUAUUGGGAUUUAUGGUGCAGAUAUAUAAAAGAAAUAAAUAGUACAACUAAAUUAUGGCCGUUUAAUCGUACAUUGGAUGUUAAAAUA